UACGGGAGGCAGCAGUGGGGAAUAUUGCACAAUGGGCGAAAGCCUGAUGCAGCUAUGCCGCGUGUAUGAAGAAGGCCUUAGGGUUGUAAAGUACUUUCAUCGGGGAGGAAAAAACAAAACUAAUAAUUUUAUUUCUUGACGUUACCCGAAAAAGAAGCACCGGCUAACUCCGUGCCAGCAGCCGCGGUAAUACGGAGGGUGCUAGCGUUAAUCAGAAUUACUGGGCGUAAAGAGCACGUAGGUGGUUUUUUUAAGUCAAAUGUGAAAUCCCUGGGCUUAACCUAGGAACUGCAUUUUGAAACUGAAAUACUAGAGUAUCGUAGAGGGAGGUAGAAUUCUAGGUGUAGCGGUGAAAUGCGUAGAUAUCUGGAGGAAUACCUGUGGCGAAAGCGGCCUCCUAAACGAAUACUGACACUGAGGUGCGAAAGCGUGGGGAGCAAACAGGGAUUAGAUACC
rnacentral:rRNA from 1 species